rnacentral:rRNA from 1 species
AACGAACGCUGGCGGCAGGCUUAACACAUGCAAGUCGAACGCCCCGCAAGGGGAGUGGCAGACGGGUGAGUAACGCGUGGGAAUCUACCGUGCCCUACGGAACAACAGUUGGAAACGACUGCUAAUACCGUAUACGCCCUACGGGGGAAAGAUUUAUCGGGGUAUGAUGAGCCCGCGUUGGAUUAGCUAGUUGGUGGGGUAAAGGCCUACCAAGGCGACGAUCCAUAGCUGGUCUGAGAGGAUGAUCAGCCACAUUGGGACUGAGACACGGCCCAAACUCCUGCGGGAGGCAGCAGUGGGGAAUCUUGCGCAAUGGGCGAAAGCCUGACGCAGCCAUGCCGCGUGAAUGAUGAAGGUCUUAGGAUUGUAAAAUUCUUUCACCGGGGACGAUAAUGACGGUACCCGGAGAAGAAGCCCCGGCUAACUUCGUGCCAGCCGCCGCAGUAA